ensembl:lncRNA
GGCAAAUCCGGAGCUGGAGACUCGUGCCGGCUAAAAAGGCGAGGGGGGAGGAGGGGCCAGCACGUGAAAAUCCCUCUCGGGGUUCACAUGUUCACUUUUGAAAAACGCCUAGAAACUGCGAUCGAGCUGUCCCCCGCGCCCCACAGUCCAUCUGGCUAGAGGAAGCGGGUCCCGUCUCCCUUCAGGGGUGACGACUUAGCCAUAUACUCCGGGCUCAGGCUGGGAGACCAGGCAGGGGCGCGCCGGAGGCGAAGGCAACAUUAAAAGUUUCGCAUUUUAUCGCCUGGCCUGACUCGGAGGUCGCCCCAGACAAACCGCUCGGGUAGAGGCACGGGCUUCUACCGCAUUUCUUUCGCCCUCCCCAAGAUAUUUUUUAAAACCCCAAGGCAAACACCGAUCACCUCCCACCCUACCCCAAAAUGGACAGACGCACGCUCGCGCAGCGCGUUAAACUCGGAGAGGGGAGGGAAAAAAGAGUUGCUGGGGAAACAACCCCGAAAGAAAAAAAAAAAAAAUCCAGCUUCUAAAAUGAGAAUAAAUGAAUAUGGAGAACCGUAAACACUAGGCGGCCGAAGCAGGGCUGGAGCGCGUGGAGCGGGGUGUCCCUGCCUGGACGCUGCGGUAACCCCCCACCCCCGGGCUGCGUCCCGCCCUCGGGGCUCUGCGCACUCAGCCCGCGCCUACCCGCCGCCGGCCGCACCUCGCGGCCCCGAGGACGCCGUCGACCCCCAGUCCCCGCCUCGGCGGCCCCAGACCCCAGCGCGCCCAGCCGCAGCCCCCGACUCCACCGCUGGGACUGGGAGUUGGGCGGGGGUGGGGUGGGGAUUCCGGCGGAGAGGAGGCAGGCGUAGCAAGAAUUCGAGGAGGUAGAAAGCUGAGGGGCGCUGCGCCGCCGAGACUAGGUCACCUUAAAAGGCAGAGAGGAAAGAGCCGGGCGCGCGGACCCGCGGCCGGGCCGCCCCCUCCUGGCACCUGCUGCUGUAGCGCCGGGCCGCCCACGGGCGUGCGCGCGCGCGGGGGACGCGGGAUGCUCGCAGCCGCCCUGCCCUCAGGUUCCCAGCAAAGCAGCGGCGAGAGGGUGGAGGUCUUCCUGCCAGUAAUCUGAGAUGAGGGAUAAUGAGGUGACCCCGAGGCUCGAGAGGAUCCCCCAGCUCCGGAAGCAACCGCCAAGACUCCUUCCUCCCAGCUUUUGGCUCUUUGAUACCGGGCAGCUGCAAGUCCUCGACCGUGGUGGGGUAAAGUGAUGACAGAGAGAGGGCUGUGUGUGUGUGUGUGUUUCGGUCCAUUUAGUGAAAAGUGGGUAGAUGGGGCAGGGUGGGAAGGAGAGCUAGAGCAAUAGAAGGUGAACGCCAGACUGGGUGAAAAGGAAAGGGGGAAGGGAGAGAGAGAGACCUAGAGGCAGAGAUAAGAGAACGCAGAGGCAGAGAGACCGCGCGCCCGCCGAGGGCCAACUCCAUCCGAAGGCGUGCCUGCGAAAGGAGCUGUGAGCUGGAGAGAUGAACCGAAGUGAGCCGAUGGGUGGAGAGUCGGAGAAGUAUCUCGGAAAACUGUGGAUGGAUGGCCUUAGCUGACAACGUCCUUUGGACGUACCUGUGGCAUCUUCCACGGAGGUCUAGUUAUGAAGCAGCCGGCCAGCAGGAAGCUGCCAGCUCACUGUCUAAGCACCAUGGUGAGUCAAUGCCUCCUGGCCUCCUGGUCAACUCAAGGCUCAGGACAAGAGGAGCCCCAUCCCACCUGGUCACUGUUUUCUCCUACGCAUGUGGUCAGGAAACCCUGACCAACCGCAGUGAAAACUAGAAUUCACUACCUUUGAUCGAUACACAGAUGUCUCAGUCCUACCGGGAACGGUCAUCAGUCUGAGGUUCUCUUCCUGCCUGACUCUGCCCUCUCCUCUUCUACCGAGUGAGGAAAGUUCUGGAUGGGGAUUGGGAGGGAAUCGUCAGUCCCAGGACUUGCCUCUCUCUGCUCCAUUCUGUCAAAAUGUAGUGAAACAGUGGGGGUCCAUCUUCCACUCCACACAGCUGAGUAUCUUCCUUGAAGAUGAAAGAACAGUUCAACUGAGUACAGCUGGAUCCGUGACGAACUCGUGAAGAAGAGCUGCAUGGCUCCCUGACACAGUGGACAUUGACAUGAUAAGAGAAAUAGACAUUUGUUUUUUCCUCAAGCCACUGUGAUUUGUGGUCUUCUUGUUUGUUUUUUAUUAUCCUUUAGCAAUUGAUAGGGAAUAUGAGAAUACCUCUUUCCUCACACAUUUGUCAGCAGGUAUUAAACCUUUGGAUCUUUGGUAGCUGUAGAUAAAAGUGGUAUCUUAAUGUCCUUCUUGUCUUCUUUUUUCUUAUAACAAAUGUGAUUAUUAAUAUUUUAUGUUAAUUAAAAGUGCAUCCUAUUUGUAGAGAACAUUGACAUUUCCUUUCUCACUUUUCUAUUGGUUCAUUAUUAUUGAUGUAUAGUAAUAUAAAGUUAACAAUACCAUAUUUGUCAAAAGUGAUUUCUUUUAUUUUCAUCCUUACUUUUUUCUUAUAUCUGUGGUAAUUCUUUUGCCGUGUAAGAUAUUACAAUACUUUAGGUAAUAAUAUUUAUCUUUUAAAAAUAAUUCUUAAUUUCUG